rnacentral:rRNA from 1 species
CCUACGGGUGGCAGCAGUAGGGAAUCUUUCACAAUGGGCGAAAGCCUGAUGCAGCAACGCCGCGUGCAGGAUGAAGGCCUUCGGGUUGUAAACUGCUUUUAUAAGCGAGAAAUAUGAUGGUAACUUAUGAAUAAGGAUCGUCUAACUACGUGCCAGCAGCCGCGGUCAUACGUAGGAGCCGAGCAUUAUCCGGAGUGACUGGGGGUAAAGAGUUGCGUAGGUGGCAUAAGAAGUAGCUAGUGAAAUCUGGUGGCUCAACCAUUCAGACUAUUAGCUAAACUGUUAAGCUCGAGACCGUUAGGGGUAAGUGGAAUUUCUGGUGUAGGAGUGAAAUGCGUAGAUAUUAGAAGGAACACCGAUAGCGUAGGCAGGUUACUGGGACGGUUCUGACGCUAAGGCACGAAAGCGUAGGGAGCAAACGGGAUUAGAUACCCGAGUAGUC